rnacentral:rRNA from 1 species
UAUGUGAUCGUCUCUCGCAUAUCAAUAAGCGGAGGAAAAGUCAAUACCUACGCUUAGGAUGUUGACGAGGCUGUCGAUCUCAUCUAUACAUGACUCUGUGCAUAUCAAUAAGCGGAGGAAAAGAAACUAACAAGGAUUCCCCUAGUAACGGCGAGUGAAGCGGGAAGAGCUCAAAUUUGAAAUCUUAAAGGGUUUCCCUUUACGAAUUGUAGUUUAAAGAAGUGUUUUCUGUUGAGGUUUUGGUAAAAGUUCUUUGGAAUAGGACAUCAUAGAGGGUGAGAAUCCCGUAUUUGACCUUUACUUUCAACUUUGUGAUACACUUUCAAAGAGUCGGAUUGUUUGGGAAUGCAGUCCAAAAUGGGUGGUAAAUUUCAUCUAAAGCUAAAUAUUGGCGAGAGACCGAUAGCGAACAAGUACCGUGAGGGAAAGAUGAAAAGAACUUUGAAAAGAGAGUUAAACAGUACGUGAAAUUGUCAAAAGGGAAGCGUUUGACACCAGUGUUGUUUUUCUGAAAAUCAAUUAAAGAACUGUUUAUGCUAAGCUGUUUAGACUUUAUCAGCUAACUGUUUAGUUUUGAGCUUUUCUUAAUGCACUUUUCAGUUAACAAGUCAACAUCAAUUUCUUUUGCUGUAAAAAAGCUUGAGGAAGGUGGCUUGAGAUUCGUCUUAAGUGUUUAUAGCCUCUUGCCUAUGCAGUCGGAGAGAUUGAGGUCUGCAGCGUAGAUCCUUCGGGGCUAAAUGCAUUUGUGCUAAGUUAUAGCAUUUUAUAGACAACUUGUUGACUAUGAUUUGUCUUGUAGCUUACUCGCUUAUGUUAUUUUACCUACGCUUAGGAUGUUGAGUAGCGACAUACGCAC